rnacentral:misc_RNA from 1 species
GAUGAAGAACGCAGUGAAUUGCGAUAUGUAAUGUGAAUUGCAGAAUUCAGUGAAUCAUCGAAUCUUUGAACGCACAUUGCACCCUCUGGUAUUCCGGAGGGUAUGCCUGUUUGAGUGUCAUUAAUAUCUCAACACAGACAAGUUUCUUACUUGUUCUGAUGCUUGGAUGCUGAAGGCUGCUGGCAACAUUUGUCAGCUCCUUUUAAAUUCAUUAGCAGAAACUAUGCUAAAGCUGGCUUCAGUUUGAUAAGCACUUAUCUGUAUUGCUGUUGCUAGUGAAAUGCUCUUGUUUCAGCUUCCAAAUGUCCAAUUCUUAUGGACUGUCUCUCGGGACAAUUUAAUCUUGACACUUGACCUCAAAUCAGGUAGGACUACCCGCUGAACUUAAGCAUAUCAAUAAGCGGAGGA